rnacentral:rRNA from 1 species
GUACGCUGGCGGCACGCCUAACACAUGCAAGUCGAACGAAGUAGCAAUACUUAGUGGCAGACGGGUGAGUAACAUGUGGGUAUCUGCCCUUUGGCCUGGAAUAACACGAGGAAACUUGUGCUAAUACCGGAUAAGUCUUUACGGAGAAAGCUUUAUGCACCAUUGGAUGAGCCCGCACUUGAUUAGUUUGUUGGUGGGGUAAUGGCCUACCAAGACUGUGAUCAAUAGCUGAUUUGAGAGGAUGAUCAGCCACAUUGGGACUGAGACACGGCCCAAACUCCUACGGGAGGCAGCAGUGGGGAAUCUUGCACAAUGGAGGAAACUCUGAUGCAGCGAUGCCGCGUGAGUGAAGAAGGCCCUUGGGUUGUAAAGCUCUUUCGUCGGGGAAGAAAAUGACUGUACCCGAAUAAGAAGGUCCGGCUAACUUCGUGCCAGCAGCCGCGGUAAUACGAAGGGACCUAGCGUAGUUCGGAAUUACUGGGCUUAGAGAGUUCGUAGGUGGUUGAAAAAGUUAGUGGUGAAAUCCCAGAGCUUAACUCUGGAACUGCCAUUAAAACUUUUCAGCUAGAGUAUGAUAGAGGAAAGCAGAAUUUCUAGUGUAGAGGUGAAAUUCGUAGAUAUUAGAAAGAAUACCAAUUGCGAAGGCAGCUUUCUGGAUCAUUACUGACACUGAGGAACGAAAGCAUGGGUAGCGAAGAGGAUUAGAUACCCUCGUAGUCCAUGCCGUAAACGAUGUGUGUUAGACGUUGGAAAUU